rnacentral:tRNA from 1 species
GCCCUGAUAGUGCAGUGGUCAAGCACGGUGCCUUCUCAAGGCACUAACCCGGGUUCGAAUCCCGGUCAGGGUA